rfam:Macaca mulatta chromosome 3, whole genome shotgun sequence.
UGGCGCCCGAACAGGGACCUGGAAACGAGGGACUCCGUGAGGAAGAGGACGCCAAAGGAUGGUCGACCGCUAACGAAGACAAAAGGAGUCAAACUCUUCCGAUCACCGCGGGAACCUGCCGCGUCAGAAUCGAAGGUAAGUGACGCGUCCGAAAUGGGACAAGAAUUAAGCCAACAUCAAAUAUAUGUAGGACAAUUAAAAGAGGCUUUAAAGAUACGAGGAGUAAAGGUUAAAGGUAAUGAUUUGUUUAAAUUUUUUGAUUUUGUAAAAGAUACUUGCCCUU